UACGUAGGGUGCAAGCGUUGUCCGGAAUUAUUGGGCGUAAAGAGCUCGUAGGCGGUCUGUCGCGUCGAAUGUGAAAACCCGGGACUCAACUCCGGGCCUGCAUUCGAUACGGGCAGACUAGAGUUCGGUAGGGGAGACUGGAAUUCCUGGUGUGAGACGGUGGAAAUGACGCAGACGUAUCAGGAGGAACACCGGUGGCGAAGGCGGGGUCUCUGGGCCGUAACUGACGCUGAGGAGCGAAAGCGUGGGGAGCGAACAGG
rnacentral:rRNA from 1 species